rnacentral:rRNA from 1 species
GAUGAACGCUGGCGGCGUGCUUAACACAUGCAAGUCGAACGGAAAGGCCAGUGCUUGCCCUGGUGCUCGAGUGGCGAACGGGUGAGUAACACGUGGGUGAUCUGCCCUGCACUUUGGGAUAAGCCUGGGAAACUGGGUCUAAUACCAGAUAGGACCAUGCUUUGGAUGGUGUGGUGGAAAGUUUUUUCGGUGUGGGAUGAGCUUGCGGCCUAUCAGCUUGUUGGUGGGGUAAUGGCCUACCAAGGCGUCGACGGGUAGCCGGCCUGAGAGGGUGUACGGCCACAUUGGGACUGAGAUACGGCCCAGACGCCUACGGGAGGCAGCAGUGGGGAAUAUUGCACAAUGGGCGCAAGCCUGAUGCAGCGACGCCGCGUGGGGGAUGACGGCCUUCGGGUUGUAAACUCCUUUCGCAACUGACGAAGCUUUUUGUGACGGUAGGUUGAGAAGAAGCACCGGCUAACUACGUG